rnacentral:misc_RNA from 1 species
CGAGCCAUGACGCUGAUGGUGCGUCGAACUGAAUCGGAUUCCGACUCGAGCGGGUCGCCGUGCGCUGAGUGCAACUCCAGCGUCUCCUAUAGGAUGCCUUUAGCUCCUACGAAGACGGAGGAGGUGUUCCGAGCGGUGACAGACUCAAGCGCAGAGUCGUGUGGCGGCUCGGGUCCGCGGGACAAGGCGCGGCGCCGUCCCCGGAGGCAUCACGCGCCCAGCACCAACACAAACAGAUAUCAACAACGCCAAGAACAAGAACGAAGGGAUUUCACAAUUCACGUAUAAAAACGUUGACAAUAAAGACUGCUCGAAGGCGAAUAGGAGAAAUACUAUUAUUAAAAACAAAUUGUUGACUAGGUAUUUACUAGGAACUAUUUAUAAUAAAGUUCUCAUUUGAACAUAAUGUGAAUAUUUAUAGGCGUUUAUUAUUUAACUCGAAUUAAUCGCGGCCUAUUCGGAUUAUUAUUAGGUAAAUUUUUUCUAAUCUAUUAUUAAAAUUAAUACGAAAUCAAUGGAAAAUUAAAUGAAAAUAUUUUUUUGAUAUACAUAGGUGACUUUGUUACGACUAUACGCUGUUUAGUGAGUAAGUUAGUUGGAUAGUUAGGGAACAUUUCGGAGUAAGUUAGGGCGAAUAUUGAUAGACAAUAUUUUUUAAAAAUGAUUCGAGGAAAAAAAUUAUCUAAAUUUUAAUAAUAAUAUAGCUAGAUAAAUAUUAAAUUAAAAUAACGAAUAAAUAAACGGUCGUUUUUGUCUGUAACAUAAGUUAUGAAUAACGUCUUUUUUUGAUAUAUUUUUUCAAACUUUCGGCACAAAUUUUUACGAAGAAUUUAUUAGUAUUUUUAUUUAUGGGAAAAAAUGUAUGCACUAAAGUAAGAAAUGUAUUGUUAACAUGAUAAAUAUGAUUUUAAUAACGGUUUUAGUUACGCUUGGUUACGCCAUCUAUGUUUCAGACUAUGAACUAUUAAAAAUUUAAUACGCCGCUAUAUUUACUGCGAAAUUGGUCUUGCGAUUUUGAUUUAUGGCAAUGUUAUUUAAUUAUUGUUAGUCAAAUCAUAUCAUAAAUGUAUCCUG